rnacentral:rRNA from 1 species
GAUGAACGCUGGCGGCGUGCCUAAUACAUGCAAGUCGAGCGAACGGACGCGAAGCUUGCUUCUCUGAUGUUAGCGGCGGACGGGUGAGUAACACGUGGAUAACCUACCUAUAAGACUGGGAUAACUUCGGGAAACCGGAGCUAAUACCGGAUAAUAUUUUGAACCGCAUGGUUGAAAAGUGAAAGACGGUCUUGCUGUAACUUAUAGCUGGAUCCGCGCUGCAUUAGCUAGUUGGUAAGGUAACGGCUUACCAAGGCAACGAUGCAUAGCCGACCUGAGAGGGUGAUCGGCCACACUGGAACUGAGACACGGUCCAGACUCCUACGGGAGGCAGCAGUAGGGAAGCUUCCGCAAUGGGCGAAAGCCUGACGGAGCAACGCCGCGUGAGUGAUGAAGGUCUUCGGAUCGUAAAACUCUGUUAUUAGGGAAGAACAUAUGUGUAAGUAACUGUGCACAUCUUGACGGUACCUAAUCAGAAAGCCACGGCUAACUACGUG